rnacentral:rRNA from 1 species
GCGACAGGUGCUGCAUGGCUGUCGUCAGCUCGUGUCGUGAGAUGUCGGUUAAGUCCGCUAACGAGCGCAACCCUCGCUGUGUGUUAUAUGUGUCACACGGGACUGCCGGUCUUAAGCCGGAGGAAGGUGGGGAUGAUGUCAAGUCAGCAUGGCCUUUAUAUCCUGGGCUACACACACGCUACAAUGGCCAACACAAUAGGUUGCUAAGCCGCGAGGUGGCGCCAAUCCAUAAAGUUGGUCUCAGUUCAGAUUGUAGGCUGCAACCCGCCUGCAUGAAGAUGGAGUUGCUAGUAACCGCAGGUCAGCUAUACUGCGGUGAAUACGUUCCCGGGGCUU